rnacentral:snoRNA from 1 species
AAUCCAUGGUGAGGGCAAUCACGUUCAUACUCCUUAAAACGUUCCCAAGCUUCAUAGAAAGAUGCCCUUGUUGAAAGGUUGAGAUCUUCGUUCUCAAAUU